CCCUUAGAUGUUCUGGGCCGCACGCGCGCUACACUGACGAAUGCAACGAGCUUAUAACCUUGUCCGAAAGGUCUGGGUAAUCUCCAAAUUUCGUCGUGAUGGGGAUAGAUUAUUGCAAUUAUUAAUCUUCAACGAGGAAUGCCUAGUAAGCGCAAGUCAUCAGCUUGCGUUGAUUACGUCCCUGCCCUUUGUACACACCGCCCGUCGCUCCUACCGAUUGAAUGGUCCGGUGAAGCGUUCGGACCGUGGCCUUUGGACGGUUCGCCGUCUGUUGGCUGCGGGAAGUUCGUUAAACCUUAUCAUUUAGAGGAAGGAGAANUCGUAACA
rnacentral:rRNA from 1 species